ensembl:lncRNA
AUCUUCCUGAUUGUUAUGAUGGUCCAAAAGGGCAUAGAGAGGGUCUGGAACUGGACCAUUGGUCUCCAGCAGCUAAGCACAAUCGUUUAGUCUAGUAGGAGAUUGUGUAUAUAUUCUUUUUGGGAGAGGAACCUUGUUGGUUGGGUCCAGACCUCAUCCCACCUGCUGGCCUCCAAAUUCAAAUGGUUAAGGAGGGCUAAGCAAUCUGUUACUUAUUCAGAUCCAACUGCGUGGCACUGCAAAAAAAAAAAAAGUAAUGUUCAACUUGAGAAAAGACAAAUGGUGGCUGCUUAUUUCCUACUGCCAUCUAUGUGGAAGAAAGUUGGUCUUGUUCCUUGCCAUCAUUUGUAACUUGAGAAAAGUGCACUGCAAAGUGUGUCUGAUUACAAAGUUUCAGCAGAUAAAUAAGGGCAUGCUUUCUAUCUGUUGGACAAGGCAGAGUAUUUUACAGCUUGGUCAAGAGGACGAAACCCCGACUGUGGUGGCCAUCACCUUAUUUAAAGCUUGCAGGACUUGUAACCCCCUGAGAUGGCCUAGGCUGCAUUUUUCUCACUGUGUGAUAUUUUGCUCUCCCUGAGAUGCAAGCUCCAAGAGAGCAGGACUGGCCUUAUGUGCUUUGUUGACGUCACUGUCAGUAGCAGCAUCUUGCAUCAGUGGCUAUUUAGUGACUCUGUAGAAUGGGUGAGUGUUAAUUUCCUUUAAUAGAGUCACCAUUCUCUGGCAGAAGGAAGAAACAACUGAUACUGAAUAUAGGAAAGAUGCUUUGUUUAAUACCAUGGAGUGUGGGUGAUGAUCGGAAAGUGACUCCUAUAUCAAAAGAUCCUGCAGGCCUGGGUUCCUCUCCAGUCAUCAGCAUUCAUUAUGAACACUCUACUUCUCCCAAGUCUCUAAAGAACAGUCAAAGUCUGGUCAAAGG